AUACGGAGGGUGCAAGCGUUACACGGAAUCACUGGGCGUAAAGCGCGCGCAGGCGGUCUUUUAAGUUGGAUGAGAAAGCCUACGGCUCAACCGUAGAACUGCAUCCAAAACUAUUAGACUAGAGUGUGGGAGAGGAAGAUGGAAUUAGUUGUGUAGGGGUAAAAUCCGUAGAGAUAACUAGGAAUACCAAAAGCGAAGGCAAUCUUCUGGAACACUACUGACGCUGAGGCGCGAAAGCGUGGGGAGCGAACAGGAUUAGAAACCCUAGUAGUCC
rnacentral:rRNA from 1 species